UAAAGGAUACAUUGCCUUAUUUAUUUAUAUCCCAACCUUAUUACAAAAAGGCUUACAAGAUGCAGAUAUUAUAGUAAUAUAAAACGAUUAAAACUUAGAAAAAUGAGAAUAAGGAAAAUAAAAGUAGAAAAGGAAGACAGAACCAAGAACAUGACUAGCAUACAAAAUACAUAAACACUUGCUGAAGGUAGACCACAAAUUGGGCUCUAAAUGGUCUAGUAUCAGUACAAACAGAAAAAUACAAUCAGCUGAAUAUUUAGUGUCCUUAAGGUAAAAACCAAACAGCAAUUCAGGAAAAGCAUAACUGGGUCCAGAGAAAAUUUCUCCCACGCAUUCUUAAAUAGAAUAUUAUGAACUGUUACGAUAAACACCCUUUACAGUAUCCACAGCAAUUAAAUUUAUUUUUUUCCUGAGACAAGAUCUCACUCUGUUGCUCAGGCUGGAUGCAGUGGCACGAUCUUCACUCAUUGCAACCUCCAUCUCCUGGGUUCAAGCAAUUCUUCCCCCUCAGCCUCCUGAGUAGCUGGGACUACAGUGUGUGCCCUCAUGACCAGCUAAUUUUUGUAUUUUUUGGGGAGAAACGGGGUUUCACCAUGUUGGCCACGCUGGUCUCGAACUCUUGACCUCAACUGAUCUGCCCACCUUGGCCUCCCAAAUAACCUUAAAUCUUAAGGUUGAUGCAUGCCUCUUAAUCUCUUGGUUUGCCCAUCAGAAACUGAAUCAUGGGCUCACUAGGAGAAAUUGUCAGUUUAAAAAUCCUAUGCUUUUCAAAGAGGUUUUAUUUUGGAUAACUGUUGCAAUUAUAGACCUAGAGAAGACAUUUAACCCACCCAUGUUUCAGUUUCUAUUUUCUUCCUCACUAGAUUAUUUUAUUCACUUUUCAAUUUUUAAAAAUUAGAUUUAUUGCAGACUGGCCUCAAGCUCCCAGACUAUAUUUUUUAGCUGCAUUAUUUAGGGGUUGAAAUGCCAGCUUUUGAGACUUUUGAAAAAUUCACAGGCUGGGUGUGGAGGCUCAUGCCUGUGAAGGUUGCAGUGAGCUGAGAUCGUGCCACUGCACUCCAACCUGGGUGACGAGAGUGAGAC
rnacentral:lncRNA from 10 species